rnacentral:rRNA from 1 species
ACGAACGCUGGCGGCGUGCCUAAUACAUGCAAGUCGAACGCUUCUUUUUCCACCGGAGCUUGCUCCACCGGAAAAAGAGGAGUGGCGAACGGGUGAGUAACACGUGGGUAACCUGCCCAUCAGAAGGGGAUAACACUUGGAAACAGGUGCUAAUACCGUAUAACAAUCGAAACCGCAUGGUUUUGAUUUGAAAGGCGCUUUCGGGUGUCGCUGAUGGAUGGACCCGCGGUGCAUUAGCUAGUUGGUGAGGUAACGGCUCACCAAGGCGACGAUGCAUAGCCGACCUGAGAGGGUGAUCGGCCACAUUGGGACUGAGACACGGCCCAAACUCCUACGGGAGGCAGCAGUAGGGAAUCUUCGGCAAUGGACGAAAGUCUGACCGAGCAACGCCGCGUGAGUGAAGAAGGUUUUCGGAUCGUAAAACUCUGUUGUUAGAGAAGAACAAGGAUGAGAGUAACUGUUCAUCCCUUGACGGUAUCUAACCAGAAAGCCACGGCUAACUACGUGCCAGCAGCCGCGGUAAUACGUAGGUGGCAAGCGUUGUCCGGAUUUAUUGGGCGUAAAGCGAGCGCAGGCGGUUUCUUAAGUCUGAUGUGAAAGCCCCCGGCUCAACCGGGGAGGGUCAUUGGAAACUGGGAGACUUGAGUGCAGAAGAGGAGAGUGGAAUUCCAUGUGUAGCGGUGAAAUGCGUAGAUAUAUGGAGGAACACCAGUGGCGAAGGCGGCUCUCUGGUCUGUAACUGACGCUGAGGCUCGAAAGCGUGGGGAGCAAACAGGAUUAGAUACCCUGGUAGUCCACGCCGUAAACGAUGAGUGCUAAGUGUUGGAGGGUUUCCGCCCUUCAGUGCUGCAGCAAACGCAUUAAGCACUCCGCCUGGGGAGUACGACCGCAAGGUUGAAACUCAAAGGAAUUGACGGGGGCCCGCACAAGCGGUGGAGCAUGUGGUUUAAUUCGAAGCAACGCGAAGAACCUUACCAGGUCUUGACAUCCUUUGACCACUCUAGAGAUAGAGCUUCCCCUUCGGGGGCAAAGUGACAGGUGGUGCAUGGUUGUCGUCAGCUCGUGUCGUGAGAUGUUGGGUUAAGUCCCGCAACGAGCGCAACCCUUAUUGUUAGUUGCCAUCAUUUAGUUGGGCACUCUAGCAAGACUGCCGGUGACAAACCGGAGGAAGGUGGGGAUGACGUCAAAUCAUCAUGCCCCUUAUGACCUGGGCUACACACGUGCUACAAUGGGAAGUACAACGAGUCGCAAAGUCGCGAGGCUAAGCUAAUCUCUUAAAGCUUCUCUCAGUUCGGAUUGUAGGCUGCAACUCGCCUACAUGAAGCCGGAAUCGCUAGUAAUCGCGGAUCAGCACGCCGCGGUGAAUACGUUCCCGGGCCUUGUACACACCGCCCGUCACACCACGAGAGUUUGUAACACCCGAAGUCGGUGAGGUAACCUUUUGGAGCCAGCCGCCUAAGGUGGGAUAGAUGAUUGGGGUG